GUCUUCGUAGUAUAUGUCAAUACACUGGCCUUGUAAACCAGCAAAGGAGCUAACCCUCCCCAAGACU
rnacentral:tRNA from 1 species